ACCGAACCGAGCCCAGUCCUAAGGAAAUCACUGUGGCGGGUGUUACUGUAGAUUAAUGAAAUUUUGAUAAUACCGGUCUCUAUCCUCCAUUGGUUGAGGCAAUUACUUGAUUGCCAUGAAACCCGUCUUGAUAGAUGAUGCCGCAGCAAUCUCUCUCCCUCUGAUCACAGACGCCCCAUAAAUCUCUCUCCCUCUGACGCCGCCUCAUCUAGCCUUUCAUCACGAUUUUGGGUUGGAAAUCGAAGCCUCGCUCAAGCAAGGCUGCUUGGCGAUUUGAUUCAGUUCCGUUUUUGCCUGUUCCUUCAUUCUGCAUUCUUCAUUCUCUUCUGUCUAUUCCCCCUGUCCACCAUCACAGAUUCACAGGUCAGGAUGUCGUCCAUUUUGCUAAAAAUAUCUGGGACAAUAUGUUUAAAAUACCAUUGGGUACCCUUUCCUCAACUCUCUCAAGGAGAAAUUUGUUUAAAAUGCGUUUAAUAUUUUUCUGCUGGCGCUUAUUAAUAUCAGUAUGGAAGUUCUGGCAAGUAUCUGUUAGGAAAGCCUGGUUAAAUGAAUGACACAGCCUGGUUAAAUUACUUGCUUAUAAGAACGAAUUGGAAAAGGCGCUCAGCAGCCUGUGCAAUUUCACUUUCCUCCAACUCCCCCAUUUUAGCUAUCAGAUUCAUUUCAUUACUCUUCCCAUCACCACAGUCCUCUCACUUCCCUUCCCGAUCUCCAUCAGCCAUGGCAUUUCGCUUUUAUAAUUUGGCCUGGGUUAUGAUCUCCAUGCUGCACCAGCACAUCUUCCAAAAGCAGUGCACAAUCGCCACCCUCUUCAAAACCCAAAUUGGGAAAGCAAAUUCGCUCAGCACGAAUGGAUAUGAGGAUGAACACGCACCAAGUUUUCAAGACGCGAGCCCAACACCUGCAGUCGUAGUAGUAGUCAUUGUAAUCGACGGUGGUGGAGGAGUCAGAGUCAUCAGGACGCAGAGCAAGUGAUUACGGGGUGAAAGGUUUGAUCGAUUUUGAGUCCUUGAUCUUACUCUGAAGAAGAAGAAGAAUCACCCAGACACUGAGAAAGUUUUGAGGUGACUGGUUGUGACUGCAGGUGCUAACUAAGAUAAGUGCUACUUCACCAAAUCUCCCUGCUGUUUCUUCACUGCUGCUUCUAAGGUUGCUUUGGAGUGUUAACCUUUCUUGUUUUCACCAAAUUUGAUUCUGUCUGUGAAAAUGGCUUCAUCUUAAAUUGGGUUUUUGUGGCUUGCACUUUUGCAGUGAUAUUGAUAUUAAGGUUUGUAAUUUCUUGCGGGAAGUUACAAACCCAUGUUUAGUUUUUUACGUUGGAAUCAGUUUGAAUAUCAAAACAUAUGUAUUUUUACUCAUCUAGAAAAUUGAAGAUCAUGUAUCUUACUUUUAUCUCUGGGAUAUUGUUGUCAAUACUUGAGUUAAAUAAACUUUGUAAGGCUAGUCUGAUAUAGAGAAUGAAAUGUUGAUGGGUUGGAACACUUCUUUUCAGGGGACCCGAUUUUGUUUGAGCCUCUCUAUUUGUUCAUGCUGUUCUUGCAUACAAAUUGUUGAUAUGUUAAUACAUUACCAAAAGGUUUCUUUCCCCACCCUGUCUUUAGUUCCACCAGCUCUUCUAGAACAAUUGAAGCAGGGGACUAAUGUGGAUCUCUGUGAUGUCAAGAUUUUGGAAUCGAUCAAAUCAACCAGUUUACAUGCCGUGGAAAACUGAAGUUAUCUCAAAGAAAGACUUGGCAAGAGUGUAGCUGGAAGUAUCAAAGAGUAAGGUUUGAGCUUCUUUUUCUUCUAAUAACCUGAAAUGGUGUAUUUCAGUUGUGACUAUGGAUUUUGAGGGUCUGAUUAUGAUAGAAGUUAUUUGAAGAAUACAAUAUAUUAUAGAGGGAUUUUAUAGUAGGUUGGGAGAAGCCCAAUGUGUUUAUGAAUGUCCCUAUUUGACAUCCAACUAUAUUGCUGUUCUGUUGUCAAAGCUUGCUGUUCGUUUUUUUUUCUUUUUCAUGUUGCAUACAUAAAUAUGCUAGAAGGUGAUCUAUUGAUCUAGAAUGUGAUCUUUGGGUUGUCAAAGAAUGCAUCUAGGUCCUAGAUAUGGUCCAGUCUAAUCAUUAAGAGACGAGGACUUCAGGUGGGGAUGCAUACAAACACGAUAGUUUAUAGGCUGUAUACUUAUUAUUUUGUACAUUUGGAAAUGAAGUUCAGAGUAUGGCAUAGGAAUGGAGGUGUCAGCAAGUGGUGACAUCUAUAGCUAUGAAAUCCUGCUAUUUGAGAUGUUGAUAGGCAAAAGAUUGACAGAUGACAUGUUUAAAGACGGCCUGAACUUGCAUAAAUUAGUCAAAUAAGGCUUUGGCCUCCUUAUCCUAUUGGAUGGUGAUCAGAGCUGAGUCUUCUAGCCAUCCCGGUCAGCUUUUGAGCAAGCACUUGGAGCCUAUUAUUGAAGAGGAGCUUUUGAACGAGCACAUGGACACUAUUGAAGAGGUUUGACAUGUAAAACAAGAAACUUUCAACUAUGUAAUUUUUUUGUUUACUGAUAAUCUGUAUCAGUGUGCUUUGUUUAGUGUAAGACUCGGCUUUGAUUAUCCAACAAGAUGCUACCAGUCUACUUUGUUCUUGGAAUUUUAUGAUCUGUACCUAAAUUUGAAUGCCUAACCGGGACGGCUAGAAGACUCGGCUCUGAUCAAGAUGCUACCAGUAUACUUUGUUCUUGGGAUUUUAUGAUUUGUACCUAAUUUUGAAUGCAUGGAAACUUUCUAAGUA